AAUAGAUACCCCGGUAGUCCACGCCGUAAACGUUGGGCGCUAGAUGUGGGGGCCAUUCCACGGUUUCCGCGUCGUAGCUANACGCAUUAAGCGCCCCGCCUGGGGAGUACGGCCGCAAGGCUAAAACUCAAAGGAAUUGACGGGGGCCCGCACAAGCGGCGGAGCAUGCGGAUUAAUUCGAUGCAACGCGAAGAACCUUACCAAGGCUUGACAUAUACGAGAACACUGCAGAAAUGUAGGACUCUUUGGACACUCGUAUACAGGUGGUGCAUGGUUGUCGUCAGCUCGUGUCGUGAGAUGUUGGGUUAAGUCCCGCAACGAGCGCAACCCUCGUCGCAUGUUGCCAGCACGUAAAGGUGGGAACUCAUGUGAGACUGCCGGGGUCAACUCGGAGGAAGGUGGGGAUGACGUCAAAUCAUCAUGCCCCUUAUGUCUUGGGCUUCACGCAUGCUACAAUGGCCGGUACAAAGGGCUGCAAUACCGUAAGGUGGAGCGAAUCCCAAAAAGCCGGUCUCAGUUCGGAUUG
rnacentral:rRNA from 1 species